AGGUUGAAAUCUGGAGUCUCGUUUUUCUUGACAUAUUUAUUGUACAAAGACUUCUUCCAAUUCUGGAAGAGUACUGCCAUCUUCUUCAUAGUCCAGUCAUAAAUUCGCACCUUCAACUCUUCAUCGUUGGUGUCGAAGGUGAAAACGUCUGUGACGGCUUUCCAAACUAACUCCUUGUCACGAUCAGAGACAAAACUGAUCUCAGGAGCACCUCGCUUCUCUCUCCAUUCACGACAACUGAUCGGUAUUUGAUCUCUUACAAGAUAUCCACAGUGACUAACAUAUUUAUUUGCAUGCUCACCAAGUGGUCUGCCUGUAGCUAUCUCAAACUCAAAGAUUACAUAGCGGCCCUCCAACGGCUUCUUUGGCCCUCGUGGAGGUACGCUUCUCCCCGUAGAGGUCGAUCCAGAAGGCUACACGUACAUAUAGAAACAAAAAUACUAAAUUAAUAACCAAGUAAUAAGUCUAAAACCUAAUGUAAGAGAUGCAUUAUUUAUAUAUGUUUACAUUUACAUACCUCGCCAGUAUUUUCUUCUUGUUGCACGACAAGUUGUUGCUCAGGGGCAUUGCCCUCUUGUUGCUCAGGGGCAUUGCCCUCUUGUUGCUCAGUAGGAUUGCCUUGCAUGAUGUCGUGGUAAUCAACAAAGUACUGACUACCGUCGUCGAUCAUAUUUUGAAUGGCAGCUUCCAUAUAAUCAGGAUCAUCAUGAGGACGGUCAGCCAUUUCUAUGUCUGCAACCAUACAUAUAUAUAUAUUCUAUAUAAGAUAAGAAAUACACUAAUACUACUACCAAUGAAAGUGUUGGAGUGCUCUAAAAAUAAUACUAGGAUCUUUUAAGCCAAGUAAUACAUUAAUAAAAAAAACUAGAAUAAUAUAUAGUACAAACAAAAAUAUAUACAAAACUCUACUAGAAUAAAUUUAAUGGCUAAACACUAUUAGAACAUAUAUUAGAGACUUAUAUACUACUACUAGUACUACUACAAAUUAAAGUGUUGGAGUGCUCUAAAAAUAAUACUAGAAUCUUUUAAGCCAAGUAAUACACUAGAAUAAAAACAAUACUAGAAUAAUAUAGUACAAACAAUAAUAUUUACAAAACACUAGAAAAUAAAAUAUGAUACAAGAAUAAUAUACAAC
rnacentral:lncRNA from 1 species